rnacentral:rRNA from 1 species
CUACGGGAUGCAGCAGUAAGGAAUAUUGCACAAUGGGGGAAACCCUGAUGCAGCAACGCCGCGUGGACGAAGAAGGCCUUCGGGUCGUAAAGUCCUUUUCUGAGGGAAGAGGAAGGACGGUACCUCAGGAAUAAGUCUCGGCUAACUACGUGCCAGCAGCCGCGGUAAAACGUAGGAGGCGAGCGUUAUCCGGAUUCACUGGGCGUAAAGGGCAAGUAGGCGGUUGUUUAAGUUAGGUGUGACAUCUCUCGGCUUAACUGGGAGGGAGCGCUUAAAACUAGGCAACUAGAGGGCGGAAGAAGGGGGUAGAACUCCAAAUGUAGCGGUGGAAUGCUCAGAUAUUUGGAAGAAUACCAGUGGCGAAGGCGACCCCCCGGUCCGUGCCUGACGCUGAGAGGCGAAAGCUAGGGUAGCGAACGGGAUUAGAUACCCCCGUAGUC